UAGAGUUGUAAAACUCCCAAACCCAUUGUGAACAUACCUUUGUUGCCUCGGCGGCCUACUGGCAGCUACCCUGUAGCUACCCUGUAGACCGCCGACGGACCAUUAAACUCUUGUUUUUAGUUGUAUCUCUGAGAAUAUUACUUUAAUAAGUCA
rnacentral:misc_RNA from 1 species